UACAGAGGGUGCAAGCGUUGUUCGGAAUUAUUGGGCGUAAAGCGCGUGUAGGCGGCUUGGCAAGUCAGAUGUGAAAGCCCUCGGCUUAACCGAGGAAGUGCGUCUGAAACUGCUGAGCUUGAGUGUCGGAGAGGAUGGCGGAAUUCCGCAAGUAGAGGUGAAAUUCGUAGAUAUGCGGAGGAACACCGGUGGCGAAGGCGGCCAUCUCGGAC
rnacentral:rRNA from 1 species